rnacentral:rRNA from 1 species
CGGCACGGGUGAGUAACGCGUAUGCAACUUACCUAUCAGAGGGGAUAACCCGGCGAAAGUCGGACUAAUACCGCAUGAAGCAGGGGCCCCGCAUGGGGAUAUUUGCUAAAGAUUCAUCGCUGAUAGAUAGGCAUGCGUUCCAUUAGGCAGUUGGCGGGGUAACGGCCCACCAAACCGACGAUGGAUAGGGGUUCUGAGAGGAAGGUCCCCCACAUUGGUACUGAGACACGGACCAA